rnacentral:rRNA from 1 species
GUGAGGAAUAUUGGUCAAUGGGCGAGAGCCUGAACCAGCCAAGUCGCGUGAAGGAAGAAGGAUCUAUGGUUCGUAAACUUCUUUUGCAGGGGAAUACAGUGCAGGACGUGUCCUGUUUUGUAUGUACCCUGAGAAUAAGGAUCGGCUAACUCCGUGCCAGCAGCCGCAGUAAUACGGAGGAUCCGAGCGUUAUCCGGAUUCAUUGGGUUUAAAGGGUGCGUAGGUGGUUUGAUAAGUCAGCGGUGAAAGUUUGCAGCUUAACUGUAAAAAUGCCGUUGAAACUGUCGGACUUGAGUGUAAAUGAGGUAUGCGGAAUGCGUGGUGUAGCGGUGAAAUGCAUAGAUAUCACGCAGAACUCCGAUUGCGAAGGCAGCUUACUGGGAUGCAACUGACGCUGAGGCACGAAAGCGUGGGGAUCAAACAGGAUUAGAAACCCUGGUAGUCC